rnacentral:misc_RNA from 1 species
UCGAGUUAGGGUCUUUUAGGCCCGACCUCCAACCAUUUGUCUACUUUACCACUUGUUGCUUCGGCGAGUCCGCCCCUUGAAAUAUAGGGGCCGCCGGGGGUUCAUACCCCUAGUCCGCGCUCGUCGAUAGCCAUCAUUAAACUCUUGUUUUAACUGUGUCGUCUAAGUAAAAACACUUAAUUAAAUUA